UACGGAGGGGGCUAGCGUUGUUCGGAAUUACUGGGCGUAAAGCGCACGUAGGCGGCUUUGUAAGUUAGAGGUGAAAGCCCGGGGCUCAACUCCGGAAUUGCCUUUAAGACUGCAUCGCUAGAAUUGUGGAGAGGUAAGUGGAAUUCCGAGUGUAGAGGUGAAAUUCGUAGAUAUCGUAAGGAAGACCAGUGGCGAAGGCGGAUCUCUGGACAGUUACUGACACUGAGGCACGAAGGCCAGGGGAGCAAACGGG
rnacentral:rRNA from 1 species